AUUUGUCGGUUGGCUUUCGCACAGGGCAGUCGUGAGGUGUCGGCGCUAUUUGCUCUUUUAGGUACGUUCCGUGUGAAUUUAAGGAAUGUACAAGGGUUUGCCUGGUUACGAAGUAUGUCUACGAAAUUGUGAAAGAUCGGACUUCAGUGUGAGGUCUCGGAGGCAAUCCUGGAAGACAUGCCGUAUGGUGUGUGAGGGCUUAGUCCCGGCAGACACGUGUUACGUGCGGGUUUUUACCCGGCAGACACUCUUUGAGGGUGUGGGCUUAGUCCCGGCAGACACGUUUUACGUGUGGGUUUUUACCCGGCAGACACUCUUUGAGGGUGUGGGCUUAGCCCCGGCAGACACGUUUUACGUGUGGGUCUUUACCCGGCAGACACGCUAUGCGUGUGUGGGCUUUGUCCCGGCAGACGCGUUGUUACGCGUGUGGACCUCGGUCCGGCAGACAUAUCACGUGAUAUGUGUAGGAAGUGAUGUAUGAGAGUGCGAGUAUAUGAUCAAAUGGAGAUGAAUGUGUAAGAUGAAUGUUAGUAGUGACAGAUGAUUCUCAUUUACUCGUAUGAUUCUAUGACAGAGGGCCUUAGUAGCGUGACGUAUGAAAUGGUAGGCAAUAUUUUGCAAGUUAACAGCUUAAUAAAGCUAACAUUUUAUUUUAGACGCAGAAGACGGAAACUAUGACGAUGAGAUCGCAGGACCUUCAUCAGAGCCUGCAGCUCACGCACCUGCCGCUGACGACGUCACUGCAGACCCUGCUGAUAAUGUGCCCGAGGACGGCGCACGGUCAGGAGAGGCCGUGUUAGGAUAAUUAGGAAUUGUUUACUGCAUUUGGUGACGUCAUCUCACGAAUGUAUAUAAGUGGGGUAAGCUCGCCUGACAAGUCAUUUGUCGGUUGGCUUUCGCACAGGGCAGUCGUGAGGUGUCGGCGCUAUUUGCUGUGAGUCAUUUCUUUUGUUGUGAUUAUCUAGCUGAUUUGUGAUUGUUAUUUGUUGAUUAACGGCUGUUUGUCAAUUACCAUUAAAUUUAUUUUCUUGAGAUUUUGGUUAUUUAAUGAAAUUGUUCAGAUAUAAGAAUAAAUCAGUUGUACCUUGUGUU